ACGGCUCAGUAACACGUAUAUAAGGAAUUGGCUGGGGAGCACAUACUGCUCAGUAACACGUAUAGGAAUUGGCGGGGGAGCACAUACUGCUCAGUAACACGUAUAUUAGGAAUCGGAGGGGGAGCACAUACUGCUCAGUAACACGUAGUCAACAUGCCCAGGGGACGUGGAUAACCUCGGGAAACUGAGGAUAAACCGCGAUAAGUCACUACUUCUGGAAUGGGUAAUGACUAAAAUCUACAUGGCCCCUGGAUUGGACUGCGGCCGAUCAGGCUGUUGGUGAGGUAAUGGCCCACCAAACCUGUAACCGGUACGGGCUCUGAGAGGAGGAGCCCGGAGAUGGGCACUGAGACAAGGGCCCAGGCCCUAUGGGGCGCAGCAGGCGCGAAACCUCUGCAAUAGGCGAAAGCCUGACAGGGUUACUCUGAGUGAUUUCCGUUAAGGAGAUCUUUUGGCACCUCUAAAAAUGGUGCAGAAUAAGGGGUGGGCAAGUCUGGUGUCAGCCGCCGCGGUAAUACCAGCACCCCGAGUGGUCGGGACGUUUAUUGGGCCUAAAGCAUCCGUAGCCGGUUCUACAAGUCUUCCGUUAAAUCCACCUGCUUAACAGAUGGGCUGCGGAAGAUACUAUAGAGCUAGGAGGCGGGAGAGGCAAGUGGUACUCGAUGGGUAGGGGUAAAAUCCGCUGAUCCAUUGAAGACCACCAGUGGCGAAGGCGGCUUGCCAGAACGCGCUCGACGGUGAGGGAUGAAAGCUGGGGGAGCAAACCGGAUUAGAUACCCGGGUAGUCCCAGCUGUAAACGAUGCAGACUCGGUGAUGAGUUGGCUUCUUGCCAACUCAGUGCCGCAGGGAAGCCGUUAAGUUUGCCGCCCGGGGAGUACGGUCGCAAGACUGAAACUUAAAGGAAUUGGCGGGGGAGCAC
rnacentral:rRNA from 1 species